rnacentral:misc_RNA from 1 species
AAAUGCGAUAAGUAAUGUGAAUUGCAGAAUUCAGUGAAUCAUCGAAUCUUUGAACGCACAUUGCGCCCGCCAGUAUUCUGGCGGGCAUGCCUGUUCGAGCGUCAUUACAACCCUCAGGCCCCCGGGCCUGGCGUUGGGGAUCGGCGGAAGCCCCCUGCGGGCACAACGCCGUCCCCCAAAUACAGUGGCGGUCCCGCCGCAGCUUCCAUUGCGUAGUAGCUAACACCUCGCAACUGGAGAGCGGCGCGGCCACGCCAUAAAACACCCAACUUCUGAAUGUUGACCUCGAAUCAGGUAGGAAUACCCGCUGAACUUAAGC